GCCCUCAUCGCCCGCCGCCGCCGCCAUCUUGCGGGAGGGGGCGGGGCCAGCGGCAGGGGGCGGGGCCGCCGGACACGCGGAUGGGCAGCCUGAAAGACAUCGACGCACGGACACGCGGGGAGAUGGAUGGAUGGAUGGAUGGACAGCCAGACAGAUGCACAGACUAAUCAUCGGAUGGACGGACAGACAUCGACAUGGGUGGAUACGUGGAUAGAUGGACGGACAGACCGACAUGCGGAUGGAUGGGCACCUAGGGCCUUUCACAGCGUCAGAGGACGCGCGCUUCAACUUGUCCUGCAUCUGUCUUAUCAACUUCGGUUGGUCUCCACCCGUGGAUCUCAGGCAGGUGCCACAGCAACCUAGGGCGCCUCGAGAGCCUUUCAUGGGAGCCACAGGGUGGCACGGUUAGGAUGACAAGAUAAACCCAGAGAUUUCCCAUAGAAAUGCAUCACUGGGCUCUUUCUGAGUUCAUUGCAACAGAAAAAAAAUAAAGAUCUAUUUUUUUUUUUCUGUAGUCAGAAAAGAGUGAAAACUAAGAGCUGGCAUUUCAGAAGGGGGGCUUGAGUCUAAAGAAGGUUGAGAACCACUGGUCUAUCAGGUGGUUACACACAUCUCUGUCUCUUACAAGAUCAACCCACAAUCCAUAGUGUUAAACCUAUUCAGCCCUGCGGUGUCUUGCCGAGUUCUUUGCAACAGAAGAAUUGCUCUAGGAUUUCUCUGUAGUCAAAAAACAAGGGGAAACGUCUUAGCUGGCACUUGUUGGGGGGGCCCCUUGAGUCUAACAAGGGCGAGAACCGCCGUGCUAGUCGGCAAGAAAGAGACUGCUCCCCAGGACCUUGCAAUCAACAGGCAAGACAGAAGCAGGCUGUACCUCUGCUUACCUACAGCCUGCACUCAGAUGCGGUGUGGUUGUCUAUCGCAUCUUCCACCAGCCAUAUUUGCCGGUGCUUGUGUUGCCCUAGAGAGAUGGCUUAUGGUCUGCAGUCACCAGCAAUACCUGUGGGAUUUCAGCCCUGAUUUCAUCUUUUGCAAUGGAGAAAACUUUGAAAGCUGGAACGCAAGUGUUGGGGGGUUUUCUCCCAAAGGAGCAAGCGCUGACUAGGACACAGAAUAUUUGAUGGAAAGAGGAAGAAAAGUUUGAUCCCCCCCACCCCCAACAAAAAAAAAACAGCAUCUGAAAUUUUCCAUGUUCAGGUUUCUCCCCUCCCUGGUUGAAAAACUUGUUGGGACAACUUGGAAACAAAGGUGUAUAUAUAUUAAAAAAAAAGAACAGAGAAAAUGGUAAUGGGGGAGAUUCAGUUCCAAGAUUUUUUUUUAAUUUUGGGGAGAGGGAUUGAGCAUUCAUACAAAACCAAAUGCAGAAAGUUUUGUCCAGCCCUUUAGUCAUUCUGGAUAAGCCAGGCAUGGUCUAAUCCUGCUUUUAUUGAAAUCAGUGGGAGUUUAACAUGGACUUCUUUGGGAGCACAAUAAGCCCAAGCUUAGUCAGAUUUCUUUUCCAGGUCAGUGCAACGUAAUUAUCCCACCGCUGAAAAAGUCCGAAAGCUGUGUUAAUAUUUCCAUUCAUUUGGAGAAAGCUCAGGGAAAAGAACAGAAACCUGCCACUGCUAAUCCAGGCUCGAAGAUGAGCUACUGCUCUAACUAUAGCUUUUAAUAUGCGCUAUUCACCGCUAUGAUUGGUCUCCUGCGUCACAUGCUAUUGCGUCCCUUUCCUGAUUGGAUGAGCUCUGAGCAUGCAAAUAGCUUUGAGAGGGUCAUAUGAUUGCUUCCAAUGCAGAUGUUUGGGUUAAUUGGUAUUCACAACCCGCCAUUUACAAUGUCUUCCCCUUUUUCCCUCGAAAAGUCUGGGGAGCAAAAUUUAGCUCACGCAAUCUAUUUCAUUUUUUUUUUUUUUUUGCCAGAGACCUCCAUCACGGUUAGGACUCUGCUGUCUCUGUAUUAACCCACAUGAAAGUACAGCUCUUUCACGAAAGCCCAAAACAAUAGUCAGCAAUACUGUCACAGGACAAUGUAGUUAUUAUAUUAAAAAGUAUUUACAAACUUCAAUUCAGCCUUUGACCUGCUCUGGUACAAAUCCACUGUAUAACACUUGCAUCUAAUCUAGUGAAAAAUCAUGGGGGACCAUCGUGUGUACACAGCUGACAGCGUUUUCAGGGUGCACAGAUGUUCGCUAGCUUAGAUGUAGAUGAUGAGAUUACAGUCUAAAUUUGCAAUGUUUUUCUCAAUAGGGUGUUUGAUGGUACAGUUUUCCUGGAUAUUAAGAAGCAUACGACAUGUUGUGCAGAUGGGUCUUUUAUUGAAUGUGUUUAUUCCUGUUUGUAUUUGCUACAUGGAUUAGAAAUAUCCCUAAAGAAGACAGUUUUCCUUGGCAGUGCUGGGAACUAUCUGUAUCAGGGUAGCUGCAUUUUGCUUUUAUAAUGAGAGUUACUACUGCCACCCUGAUGGGGGAAAACAUGCAAGUCACAGUGUAUUGGUGUAUUUGAAAGAAAAAGGAGCAAUGGAGCCUAUGCCAGAAUAAGAAGCAAUGGUCUCAAGUUGCAGCAAGGGCGAUUUAGGUUGGAGAUUAGGAAAAACUCUCUCACUAGGAGGGUGGUGAAGCACUGGAACAGGUCACCUAGAGAGGUGGUGGACUCUCCAUCCUUGGAGGUUUUUAAGGCCCAGCUCAACAAAGUCCUGGCUGAAAUGAUCUAGUUGGGGAUGGUUCUGCUUUGAGCAGCAGGUUGGACUAGAUCAGGGGUUGGCAAAAGGUGGCCUAGGGGCCGGAUGCAGCCCACCAAGCCAUUCUAUCUGGCCCGCAGGGCCCCUAAAAAAUUUAGAAAAUUAAUAUUAAUCUGCCCCUGGCUGCCUAUCAUGCGGCCCUCGAUGGCUUGCCAAAACUCAGCAUGCGGCCCUCCACUCAAAAUAAUUGCCUGCCCCGGACUAGAUGCCCUGCUGAGGUCUCUUCCCACCCUUAUUUGCUAUGAUUUAUAUAGAACCUAUUUCUAGCAUAACUCUUGCAAGCCACAUCAGAAAACCAGACUGUUAAAUAUUGGUGAAAAGAACCAGCUCUAAUCCUCCGCACCUUCAGAAAGGAUUUAGCAGUUGGAGGUUGGUGGAUGCCUGGUAGUCCACACUUCACUCAUGUUCACUAAAGAAGUCAGUUCCCAAAGGAAAAAAAAAAAGGGAUGGAGAAAGCAAGAGACUGAGAAAUGCAAACAAAGCGGAGGCAAAGACUUGAGAUGCCACCCAGGGUUUCCAUUUCCUGUGGGAGGUCCACAUCGACAGUGCCCACGUCAUUUCUUACCGGCAUAAGUAACAUCUCGAUGUCCUAGACCAAACUCCAGUUUAUUCCGUCAUUAAGCCAUACCAUUUCACAGGUGUUUGCUUGUUUCACAGCUGUGGUUUUACAGGUGAAAAUAAAACAGGCCAGGCUCGGGACUGUCACCGGGCGCGCAUUGCCAACCACUCAAAUGACACGAAGAGGAUCAUGGACAGCAAUGGGUCAGAAAAUCGACUGAGAUGCCCUCGACCUUCAGCUCACAUGCUUUAUCAAGCAAUGCGAGUGCUUUACAUGAUGCAUACUUUGUAAAAUGCCACUUUGAGGUAUCGAUUAUCAACUUAAAAGCUACAAGGAUAUGGACUGGAAAGAUGGUCCAGUGGGUGCCAGGCCAGCCUGGGACGUGCAAAACCUGGAGUUGGUUUCCACAGGCUUCUUAACUCUCUUAGUCUUCCUACCCCUCAGCUCCCCAUCUGUUACAUGAAGGCAAUAGCUCUUUCCCUCUUCCCAAAGACUGUUGAAGUGACAACUGGGAUCACACCCUGACUGUCAACAAGGUGCCACUGGAUUUUGCUGACAACCAUUUUUACACCUUCUCUGAACUAUGGAUGGCGCCACGUGGGAUUUGGAAGACAAGUGAAUGAAAAGGGGGCAGAAGGCACUAUUCAUGGGACCACUGGACUCUUCAAACGGGUGUGGGGGAAGAUGCUAGCGACUCAUAGGUAGGUUAGGCUCUAGCAUUUCCAGAUAAAUAUACAGUAGGUGGCACUCACUGACUGUGUUUCCAGUCUGUAUCACCACAAGGCCCAAGGUGAUUAAGAAACAGGAGCUUCAGUCUGAUACCAGACAAAAAGUCAGAGGGGAGAAGUGGUUGGCUUGGCUUUUUCCUACUGAACAAUAUGACCUGGGCCCAAGAGCAGCUGUUCAGAGGGAGAGCAGAACGUGCUUGUCCCUAGCAUUUCACAAGACCUUCGAAAGGUGUUUUAAAAGACCUUUUCCGAUUUCACUGAAAGUAGAGGGAAAUUUCCCAAACAGCGUAACCGGAGGGAAUGCGUACGGUGUCAUGAAAUGAGACCAGUCCACACUGCUGACUUCCAGCCCGCAGGACUGCAUGUGGUAUGCACCUGUUGCCCUUUUCUGGUUCUUUUUUUAUAGCUGGCUUUAGUGUACUUGAGCAGUGACACAUUUACAGCCCUGGAGACUCACAGGAUGGAGGAAGGGCCUGGGAGCCUUUCAUCUUAAAGACAUUAGUCCCUAUUUGGCCUAGACCAUCAUUAACUAAAAGUCACUUAUUUCCAAGGGCCGGCUGAUGGGUCGCAUGAAUGGAUUGGUGCUCUGAUGAGAGGAUAAAGAAUCUCAACAGAGAAGCCAAGGAACAGAAAGGAUAGGAUAUAACAUGGCCAGGUUAAAAGCAAAGGACAUUUGAGUUUGGACUUGCCAGCAUCCACCAGUGCCUAUGCUGUGCAUAGACAAGUUCUGCAGCAGAGCUGAACAACUUGCAGUGGUUUGAUGGACUAAUGGAGAUGAGCAUUAUUUGUUUGUUUGUCUCUGUUUUGGGGUUUUUUUCUGGUUUUUUGGUUAUUAUUUUCUGGUGUGUCCAUGCAGUAGCUGCAUUAUUAUGCUCCAAAAUCUGUGUUCCUUU